rnacentral:rRNA from 1 species
UACGGGAGGGAGCUAGCGUUAUUCGGAAUUACUGGGCGUAAAGCGCACGUAGGCGGCUUUGUAAGUCAGAGGUGAAAGCCUGGAGCUCAACUCCAGAACUGCCUUUGAGACUGCAUCGCUUGAAUCCAGGAGAGGUGAGUGGAAUUCCGAGUGUAGAGGUGAGAUUCGUAGAUAUUCGGAAGAACACCAGUGGCGAAGGCGGCUCACUGGACUGGUAUUGACGCUGAGGUGCGAAAGCGUGGGGAGCAAACA